rnacentral:misc_RNA from 2 species
UGACCACUCCCGCUUGCGGGGUCUUGGGCCUUCGCCUCUGGGCGGGCCUUAAAAUCAGUGGCGGUGCCGUCCGGCUCUAAGCGUAGUAAAUCUCCUCGCUAUAGGGUUCCGGAGGGAUGCUGGCCAACAACCCCCAACUUUUAA